UGAUGGUUAAUAACAUUAACCCUUUUUAUGGUCGUACAGUAUAUUUAGAUUUAGGGUUCAAACAAUCCAUUUAAAUUCAAGUUGACAUGUUAAGUUAAAAUGUUCAUUAGAUCAACAGGAUCAAGAUCCUUUGCCAUGAUUCUUCCUUUCCUCCUAAGAGCACCAGUCGAUUCAGUGUGAAUGACUAAAUAAAAUCUGUUCUUCAAACAUUGGGCUUUGAGAACAGCUCUGGACUUGUCAUGUUAAGAUUCCUAAUCAAAAAGAUAAAGUUCAGCUGAGGUCAUUCAUAUGAAUAGCUGCAAAAUACCUUUCUGCAACCUCUCUUUAGACAAGUGUCGCAGCUGUUGUAGAGUGAAAGCCAAGGUCAGGGACUAUAAAUUAUCACUCAUGACAGUUCUACCCAGCUAGUUCUACAGCCUUUGUCUCAUGGUUUCAUCAUGGCAUUGUUUCCUUUCCUUUGGCCUUGAGGACAAAGAUAACCCUGUGAAAUUCUUGUCUGGAUUUGUUCUCUCUGAUUGAGAAGGGCAGUAUCUGAUGAGGGGUAACAGGUGCAUGGCGAUAAAAAUAUACCUUAGUUUAUUCUAGAACAGAAGUUACGUAACUUUUUUUAUUUCUAUUCCAUUAAAAUAUGUAAUCGUUUGAUGGUUUGAAUCCAUCCAUCUUAGUCUAAAUUUAGUAAACAUGAAUCAAAACACAUUUAAGUGAACACUGCUUCAAGAAAAACAAAACCUUCAUUUUGUUGUUUUGGCCUCCUUUCAUGAAUGUAGCCAUUUGUCCACUCUCACCAUUUGUCAUCCCUUAGCAAUUAAAGCCAUAUGCAUGUUUUGUUUACUCUUGUAGAAUGGCAAUGAUGAGUGCUGAGCAAAAUUCCAAUGGACCGUGUUAGAGUUGAUCAGAAUUUGCUUUUACAUUGUUGGACUCAUUCUUAUUCUCAGCUGUCCAACUCCCUGUGAAAAUCGUCGUCUGCUUUGUGUCCCCAUCUUGGCUUUCAUCACCUUCUCGCUGUUUGGACACAGAGUUGUAACCAGAAUCCUCUAAGGUAAUGCCACUUGCGUUAGCAGAUAAAAUCUUUAUUGGAAAGAACAAACGGUGUCACCUUGAUAUGCUAUUGCUGCUGUUGUCUGCUAAUUAAUCCUAAAGUAUUUCUAAACACACUGAAGUCCUAGAUGUUAAGCAGUUGACACAGAUGAGCCUAUAGCACAAGGGUAAUGAGGUUAAGUUUUAAAGGGUCAGCAGAAGAAUUAAUAAAGCCAUGGCUUACAUUGUUCUGUUAGUGUUAGCAUGUGGAUGACAAAGAAUAACACUAUACAAUUUAUUUCUUAUUUUAUAAUCGUGUUGACAAUAUCUAAUCCCUUAGAAGGACGAGGGCAUGUGAGAUCAAGGUCAGCAUGUCGUGCUGGACUGAUAUCCACCCUUCACUUGGCUCCCUCUGACAGUGUAGGAGCCUCAGCAUCAGUCCCUCCUUUGUGCUGCUGCAGGAGAAUGAAGUACGUUACUCUGACGACAAAGGGGACCACAGCACAGAAGAUCCCGGAGGUCUUAGGUCGUCGUCCGUGAGCUUCACUCCUCAUCUAACCCUUUCUGUGAUGAAGAAUGAUAAGGCAGUAGACAAACAGAGAUGGAUUAGGGACAGAGGACCAACAAGACUCAACAAGUGUUAUCAAAGGUAACUUGGCUAAAAUUUUACAAGUUAGUGAUUCUGACAGUAAUUCUACAUGAAUAACAUUUAUUUUACUGCCCACAUUCCUUUACUGUAGUAUGUUGGCUUGGACACUAAUUAUUUUAAAUACAUGAAAAUGAAUGUUGAUUUUGUGGGAUUAGAUUAAUUUUAACAAUGUAGCACUGAAUGUAGUAUAUGGAGGAAAGUGUUUUAAAUAUUAUAAAAAGUUAAAGAGCCAAGCCCCCUUGAGUUUAGUCUCAAGCCAUUUGGGUUUUUUUAAACUAAAAACUAGAAUUCGAAGCCUAAGUUCUGAGGAAAUCAUUUAGUCUUUUUAAGACAUUUAAAACAGUUAUCUUUCAAACUGGGACCCUUUGUUGCAUGUUGUUCCCCAUCUCUCUCUACCUGCAUUUUUUUUUCCACCUUCAUUUUUUACAGGCAAGUUAUUAGGAACAGGUUCUUAUUUACAAUGGCGGCCUGACAAGUGACAAAGCCACUUAGGGGAAGGGAAGAAGGGCUAGAAAAUAAAAUACAUUAGACAUUCAUACAGUUAA